GACGAACGCUGGCGGCGUGCCUAAUACAUGCAAGUCGAACGCUUUUUCUUUCACCGGAGCUUGCUCCACCGAAAGAAAAAGAGUGGCGAACGGGUGAGUAACACGUGGGUAACCUGCCCAUCAGAAGGGGAUAACACUUGGAAACAGGUGCUAAUACCGUAUAACACUAUUUUCCGCAUGGAAGAAAGUUGAAAGGCGCUUUUGCGUCACUGAUGGAUGGACCCGCGGUGCAUUAGCUAGUUGGUGAGGUAACGGCUCACCAAGGCAACGAUGCAUAGCCGACCUGAGAGGGUGAUCGGCGACACUGGGACUGAUAAACGGCCCAGACUCCUACGGAAGGUAGCAGUAGGGAAUCUUCGGCAAUGGACGAAAGUCUGACCGAGCAACGCCGCGGGAGUGAAGAAGGUUUUCGGAUCGUAAAACUCUGUUGUUAGAGAAGAACAAGGAUGAGAGUAAAACGUUCAUCCCUUGACGGUAUCUAACCAGAAAGCCACGGCUAACUACGUGCCAGCAGCCGCGUAA
rnacentral:rRNA from 1 species